rnacentral:rRNA from 1 species
AUUGAACGCCGGCGGCAUGCUCUACACAUGCAAGUCGAACGGUAACAGGCCGCAAGGUGCUGACGAGUGGCGAACGGGUGAGUAAUGCAUCGGAACGUGCCCAGUCGUGGGGGAUAACUACUCGAAAGAGUAGCUAAUACCGCAUACGAUCUAUGGAUGAAAGCGGGGGACCGUAAGGCCUCGCGCGAUUGGAGCGGCCGAUGUCAGAUUAGGUAGUUGGUGGGGUAAAGGCUCACCAAGCCAACGAUCUGUAGCUGGUCUGAGAGGACGACCAGCCACACUGGGACUGAGACACGGCCCAGACUCCUACGGGAGGCAGCAGUGGGGAAUUUUGGACAAUGGGCGCAAGCCUGAUCCAGCAAUGCCGCGUGCAGGAAGAAGGCCUUCGGGUUGUAAACUGCUUUUGUACGGAACGAAACGGCUCUGGUUAAUACCCGGGGCUAAUGACGGUACCGUAAGAAUAAGCACCGGCUAACUACGUG